CGUAGGCAGCGAGCGUUGUUCGGAGUUACUGGGCGUAAAGGGUGUGUAGGCGGUUGUUUAAGUUUGGUGUGAAAUCUCCCGGCUCAACCGGGAGGGUGCGCCGAAUACUGAAUGACUUGGAGUGUGGGAGAGGUGAGUGGAAUUCCUGGUGUAGCGGUGAAAUGCGUAGAUAUCAGGAGGAACACCGGUGGUGUAGACGGCUCACUGGACCAUAACUGACGCUGAGACACGAAAGCGUGGGUAGCAAACAGGAUUAGAUACCCUGGUAGUCCACGCCCUAAACGAUGCAUAUUUGGUGUGGGCAGUUCAUUCUGUCCGUGCCGGAGCUAACGCGUUAAAUAUGCCGCCUGGGGAGUACAGUCGCAAGGCUG
rnacentral:rRNA from 1 species